AUUAGAGUUUGAUCCUGGCUCAGGAUGAACGCUGGCGGUAUGCUUAACACAUGCAAGUCGAACGGAACCCUCCGGGGUUUAGUGGCGGACGGGUGAGUAACGCGUGAGAAUCGGCCCUCAGGUUGGGGACAACCAUUGGAAACGGUGGCUAAUACCGAAUAAGCCGAGAGGUGAAAGAUUAAUUGCCUGGGGAAGAGCUCGCGUCUGAUUAGCUAGUUGGUGGGGUAAAGGCCUACCAAGGCACCGAUCAGUAACUGGUCUGAGAGGCCGGUCCCCCACACUGGCACUGAGACACGGGCCAGACUCCUACGGGAGGCAGCAGUAGGGAAUAUUGGGCAAUGGCCGAGAGGCUGACCCAGCCAUGCCGCGUGCCGGACGACGGCCUUCUGGGUUGUAAACGGCUUUUCCCGGGGAAGAAAACGGGGACGCGUCCCUAACUGACGGUACCCGGGGAAGAAGCACCGGCUAACUCCGUGCCAGCAGCCGCGGUAAUACGGAGGGUGCGAGCGUUGUCCGGAUUUAUUGGGUUUAAAGGGUGCGUAGGCGGCCCGUUAAGUCCGGGGUGAAAGCCCACGGCUCAACCGUGGAACUGCCCCGGAUACUGGCGGGCUUGAGUUCGGGCGAGGCCGGCGGAACGGGCGGUGUAGCGGUGAAAUGCAUAGAUACCGCCCAGAACCCCGAUUGCGAAGGCAGCCGGCUGGGCCGCAACUGACGCUGAGGCACGAAAGCGUGGGGAGCGAACAGGAUUAGAUACCCUGGUAGUCCACGCCGUAAACGAUGGAUACUCGCCGGCGGCUAAAGCUUGUCGCUGGCUGAGCGAAAGCGGUAAGUAUCCCACCUGGGGAGUACGCCCGCAAGGGUGAAACUCAAAGGAAUUGACGGGGGCCCGCACAAGUGGUGGAGCAUGUGGUUUAAUUCGAUGAUACGCGAGGAACCUUACCCGGGCUAGAAUGCGCGCGACCGGGUCGGAGACGACCCUUUCCUUCGGGACGCAAAGCAAGGUGCUGCAUGGCCGUCGUCAGCUCGUGCCGUGAGGUGUUGGGUUAAGUCCCGCAACGAGCGCAACCCCUACGUUUAGUUGCCAGCGCGUGAAGGCGGGGACUCUAAACGGACUGCCUGCGCAAGCAGCGAGGAAGGCGGGGACGACGUCAGGUCAUCAUGGCCCUUACGCCCGGGGCUACACACGUGCUACAAUGGCCGGUACAGAGGGUCGCCACCCCGCGAGGGGGCGCCAAUCUCGCAAAGCCGGUCUCAGUUCGGAUCGGAGCCUGCAACUCGGCUCCGUGAAGCUGGAAUCACUAGUAAUCGCGCAUCAGCAACGGCGCGGUGAAUACGUUCCCGGGCCUUGUACACACCGCCCGUCAAGCCAUGGAAGUCCGGUGGGCCUGAAGCCGGUGCUCCGCAACGAAGCCGGUUAGGGCAAAACGGGUAACUGGGGCUAAGUCGUAACAAGGUAACCAAU
rnacentral:rRNA from 1 species